rnacentral:rRNA from 1 species
GUGUCAGCAGCCGCGGUAAGACGUAGGGCGCGAGCGUUGUCCGGAUUUAUUGGGCGUAAAGAGCUCGUAGGCGGCUCAUCGCGUCUGCCGUGAAAACCCGCAGCUCAACUGCGGGCUUGCGGUUGAUACGGGUGGGCUGGAGUUCGGUAGGGGAGACUGGAAUUCCUGGUGUAGCGGUGAAAUGCGCAGAUAUCAGGAGGAACACCGGUGGCGAAGGCGGGUCUCUGGGCCGAUACUGACGCUGAGGAGCGAAAGCGUGGGGAGCGAACAGGAUUAGAAACCCCGGUAGUCC